UACGGGGGGUGCGAGCGUUGUCCGGAAUCACUGGGCGUAAAGCGCACGUAGGCGGCUUUGUAAGUCAGGGGUGAAAGCCUGGAGCUCAACUCCAGAACUGCCUUUGAGACUGCAUCGCUUGAAUCCGGGAGAGGUGAGUGGAAUUCCGAGUGUAGAGGUGAAAUUCGUAGAUAUUCGGAAGAACACCAGUGGCGAAGGCGGCUCACUGGACCGGUAUUGACGCUGAGGUGCGAAAGCGUGGGGAGCAAACAGG
rnacentral:rRNA from 1 species